rnacentral:tRNA from 1 species
CUGGUAGCUCAGCUGGUUAGAGCGCUAGCCUGUCACGCUAGAGGUCGUGGGUUCGAACCCCAUCCG